UGGGGGAUAUUGCGCAAUGGGGGAAACCCUGACGCAGCAACGCCGCGUGAAGGAAGAAGGUCUUCGGAUUGUAAACUUUUGUCUUUGGGGAAGAAAAAAAUGACGGUACCCAAGGAGGAAGCCACGGCUAACUACGUGCCAGCAGCCGCGGUAAUACGUAGGUGGCAAGCGUUGUCCGGAUUUACUGGGUGUAAAGGGUGCGUAGGCGGGUUAUUAAGUCAGAUGUGAAAUGCUGAGGCUUAACUUCAGAGGUGCAUUUGAAACUGAUAAUCUUGAGUGUCGGAGAGGAAAGCGGAAUUCCUAGUGUAGCGGUGAAAUGCGUAGAUAUUAGGAGGAACACCAGUGGCGAAGGCGGCUUUCUGGACGAUAACUGACGCUGAGGCACGAAAGCGUGGGGAGCAAACAGG
rnacentral:rRNA from 1 species